rnacentral:ncRNA from 1 species
GGACCGUGACAAAUCUGCCGGGAGCAGAUUUGAACAGCGCUUCAGCGCUGGCCCCAAAGGGGCGAGCCUCAUGGAUGAGGCGAGUAGUCAGGCCUGCACUACAAU